rnacentral:rRNA from 1 species
CAGAACGUCAUAGAGGGUGAGAGUCCCGUCUAGAACCGAUAGCCGCGUUCAUGUGAAACUCCUUCGACGAGUCGAGUUGUUUGGGAAUGCAGCUCAAAAUGGGUGGUAAAUUUCAUCUAAAGCUAAAUAUUGGCCAGAGACCGAUAGCGCACAAGUAGAGUGAUCGAAAGAUGAAAAGCACUUUGAAAAGAGAGUUAAACAGUAUGUGAAAUUGUUGAAAGGGAAGCGCUUGCAACCAGACUUGUGUUUAACGGUUCCCCUGUGUCUUUUGACCAGGCUAUUCCGUUAUAUCCAGGCCAGCAUCGGUUCGGGUGGUUGGUUAAAGGCCUUGGGAAUGUAUCUACCUUCG